UACAGAGGUGGCAAGCGUUGUUCGGAAUUACUGGGCGUAAAGCGCGCGCAGGCGGCUAUCCAAGUCAGUGGUGAAAGCCCGGAGCUCAACUCCGGAACUGCCAUUGAAACUGUUUAGCUUGAGGAUGAGAGAGGUGAGUGGAAUUCCCAGUGUAGAGGUGAAAUUCGUAGAUAUUGGGAAGAACACCGGUGGCGAAGGCGGCUCACUGGCUCAUUACUGACGCUCAGGCGCGAUAGCGUGGGGAUCAAACAGG
rnacentral:rRNA from 1 species